GAUGAAGAACGCAGCGAAAUGCGAUAAGUAAUGUGAAUUGCAGAAUUCCGUGAAUCAUCGAAUCUUUGAACCCACAUUGCGCCCCCUGGUAUUCCGGGGGGCAUGCCUGUCCGAGCGUCAUUGCAACCUUCAAGCGCGGCUUGUGUGUUGGGUCUCGUCCCCCGUGGACGGGCCCGAAAGGCAGUGGCGGCGUCCCGACAUGGUGCCCGAGCGUAUGGGAAUCCUCUUCCGCUCGAAUCGGCCCAUGCGGCGCUGGUCGUAACCAAAUUUUUUACCGGUUGACCUCGGAUCAGGUAGGGAUACCCGCUGAACUUAAGCAUAUCAAUAAGCGGAGGA
rnacentral:misc_RNA from 1 species